ensembl:lncRNA
CAUUUCACUCGGCUAGAUUGGCAGUAUGCGUGCAAGUAAGCCUAACGUUAAGAACUUCCAAACCGUACACCACCGUACAAGCAUGAUAAUAUUGCGUUGACUAUUAUGAUGGAUUUUGCUAACAAAAGGAAUGUCUAAUUGUUGGAUAUGUCAGCAUAUGCCCAUUUCAUCUAGAGCACCUAUGCUGGUUCCUGUUCCAUUCACGGAAGCCGACUGGGCUGUCAUGGGGUGGGCUGAGCUAUCUCAUCGAUUUGAGCCAAGAGGAAAUAAGGGCACUCUCAACAGUACUGGAAAGACACAUGAAUAAGACUUCAAUAGCACUUUCCGAAAUGCAAAAGGAAGUAAAUGACAUCAAACACAUGGUACUACAAAAUAGAAUGGCUCUGGACCUCGUUCUGGCCUCACAAGGCGGGGUAUGCAAGAUAAUUAACAGUGAAUGUUGCACUUACAUCUCUGUUGCAACAUCGCAGUUUAUGAUGUGGUGGCAGACACAGAGCAAGGCAUUAAGGAAUUGCAUGAAGACCACGGCUGGAAUUCUUUUGGGGAAAUACAGGCACGGGUUGGAUCACGGGGAACUUCUCUCUUCAAGGAACUGCUAUGGGAAUUAGGGGGCAUUAAUCUGUCUGUAAUUGUUACAACCCUAAUUGUAACUGUUUUAAAGCUCUUUGUAAGGAAGGUUGUUAGUACUCAUGUAUCAGUUGAACACACAAGUACUACUAUACGGUGUCCGGUUCAGGAAUGGACUCCACCCUAUCCGGAUAGCUUUGACAGUGAUGAUGAGUGUGAGGAUUGUGUGUAACUAAACAGCAUGUAUGGUGUUAAUGUUUAGCAAUAGUUCUCAAUGUACCUAGAAGUUAAUGAUGUGAUGUUCUGAAUCUUCGUGAAUUUACACCACUCAUGUAUGUUCUAAACGUUUUCUUUGUUGUUUAAUUUUCUUUCUUAAUUUCGAUUUGAUUGUUGUUUAGAGUUUCUUAAGUUGAUUCCGGAUUGUCAAAAAUGACAAAAAGAGAGGGAUGUUGGGGGAAAAUUGUUGAGCCUGCGUGGGGUGAGGCUCUCAGGAAUGUGACCCUUGAUGUGAGCCGGUGACUUAAGGCAGUCCAGGGUGAGAUAAGACACAGAUGAAAACAUGCGUGCCCUGACUGACCUUUUAGAUGUUGUUGAUUGUCUGGGUCCAUAAAGGGAGGGUCACAGGGUCACCCCUACAUCAUCUGCUACUUUUCCCACAUUCCUCUUGAGGGGUGGGCUGUCCUGUCCUGAGGCAGCACAAACCCCCCUAAGUGUAUAAAACCUCCUGUUCUCC